UAGGGAAUCUUCGGCAAUGGACGAAAGUCUGACCGAGCAACGCCGCGUGAGUGAAGAAGGUCUUCGGAUCGUAAAACUCUGUUGUUAGAGAAGAACGACGAGGAGAGUGGAAAGCUCAUCGUGUGACGGUAUCUAACCAGAAAGGGACGGCUAACUACGUGCCAG
rnacentral:rRNA from 1 species